UGCAAACUGCCAUGGGUGCGUACGCAGAAACCACAGCGGUCAGAAGACAGUAGACGAACUGUCGGUAAAAGCGCAGUUGAAGUUCUGGCAAAUCACCAUUCACCCAGUGAAAUUUAACUUCAGGUUGAAAGCAAACUGAACACAUUAGAAGAAAAUGGAAAACUACUGUGGCCUUCAACCCCGCCCACAAUAAACGCUGCCACAUUUCCGAUCAGAGAUGUUAUGCGAGGGUUAAGUGAAACUUUGAAAAGUGCAUUUCUACUACUGUCCAUCCAUUUUGAUGAAACAUGGUAUCAGGAUUACAAAGGAAUAUCUUCUGUGUUUCUCAAAAUCUGAAAGUGAAUCCUGUGCAUUGGAAUCAUCUGAGAAUAUUCUGUAAGAAAUAAGACUUUAAUGACUUUGAAAUCAAGAACUACAAAUUAGUAUUCUUUAUAAGGUACUGGGGCUUUUUCUUAAGCAUACUAAUAUCUGAGAAUCAUUGUUUUCCUUGAAUUUUCCAUAUGAGAUUAAGCUAA
rnacentral:lncRNA from 1 species